rnacentral:miRNA from 1 species
CUGCACAGCUCGGGGGUCCUGGUGGCAGGAGCGUCCCCGCUGUCCUGGGCCCUCCGGGCCUCCGCCUCUCCCGAGGGAGCGCAGGAUCCUGGGCUGUGUCCCCCGGCGCCCUGGGCUCCAGGGCCUGCGCUGCUGG